rnacentral:rRNA from 1 species
GAUGAACGCUGGCGGCGUGCCUAAUACAUGCAAGUCGAGCGAACAGAUAAGGAGCUUGCUCCUUUGACGUUAGCGGCGGACGGGUGAGUAACACGUGGGUAACUUACCUAUAAGACUGGAAUAACUCCGGGAAACCGGGGCUAAUGCCGGAUAACAUGUUGAACCGCAUGGUUCUACAGUGAAAGGCGGCUUUGCUGUCACUUAUAGAUGGACCCGCGCCGUAUUAGCUAGUUGGUGAGGUGACGGCUCACCAAGGCAACGAUACGUAGCCGACCUGAGAGGGUGAUCGGCCACACUGGAACUGAGACACGGUCCAGACUCCUACGGGAGGCAGCAGUAGGGAAUCUUCCGCAAUGGGCGAAAGCCUGACGGAGCAACGCCGCGUGAGUGAUGAAGGUCUUCGGAUCGUAAAACUCUGUUAUUAGGGAAGAACAAAUGCGUAAGUAACUGUGCGCGUCUUGACGGUACCUAAUCAGAAAGCCACGGCUAACUACGUGCCAGCAGCCGCGGUAAUACGUAGGUGGCAAGCGUUAUCCGGAAUUAUUGGGCGUAAAGCGCGCGUAGGCGGUUUUUUAAGUCUGAUGUGAAAGCCCACGGCUCAACCGUGGAGGGUCAUUGGAAACUGAAAAACUUGAGUGCAGAAGAGGAAAGUGGAAUUCCAUGUGUAGCGGUGAAAUGCGCAGAGAUAUGGAGGAACACCAGUGGCGAAGGCGGUUCUCUGGGCCUUUCCUGACGCUGAGGAGCGAAAGCGUGGGGAGCGAACAGGCUUAGAUACCCUGGUAGUCCACGCUGUAAACGGUGGGUACUAGGUGUGGGGUCCAUUCCACGGGUUCCGUGCCGUAGCCAACGCUUUAAGUACCCCGCCUGGGGAGUACGGCCGCAAGGCUAAAACUCAAAGGAAUUGACGGGGCCCCGCACAAGCGGCGGAGCAUGCGGAUUAAUUCGAUGCAACGCGUAGAACCUUACCUGGGUUUGACAUGGAUCGGGAGUGCUCAGAGAUGGGUGUGCCUCUUUUGGGGUCGGUUCACAGGUGGUGCAUGCCUGUCGUCAGCUCGUGUCGUGAGAUGUUGGGUUAAGUCCCGCAACGAGCGCAACCCUUGUUCACUGUUGCCAGCACGUUAUGGUGGGGACUCAGUGGAGACCGCCGGGGUCAACUCGGAGGAAGGUGGGGAUGACGUCAAGUCCUCAUGCCCCUUAUGUCCAGGGCUUCACGCAUGCUACAAUGGCUGGUACAGAGAGUGGCGAGCCUGUGAGGGUGAGCGAAUCUCGGAAAGCCGGUCUCAGUUCGGAUUGGGGUCUGCAACUCGACCUCAUGAAGUCGGAGUCGCUAGUAAUCGCAGAUCAGCAACGCUGCGGUGAAUACGUUCCCGGGGCU